AAAAUCACAAACAUCCUGGCUCAGAAGACAUUCAAUUUACUUGAGAAAGCAAGCAAAGAGUUUUCACGGAUUAAAGAUAUCAAUCAGAUUAAAGGAACGAAUUGGUUUGAAAGAAGGAUUAAAAGUACCAAUUGGAUUCAAUAGAUUAAUACGACCAACAUGAUUUGAUUGUACGGAUUUGAUAUCAGAUUAAUCGAUUAAACAACGAAAUCCUGUAGAGGCCUUUGUUCGCUUGUCUUUUGUUGUCGACCUCACUACAGCCACA